rnacentral:rRNA from 1 species
GACGAACGCUGGCGGCGUGCCUAAUACAUGCAAGUCGAACGAACCGCGACUAAGUGCUUGCACUAAGUCAAGGUGAGUGGCGAACGGGUGAGUAACACGUGGGUAACCUACCUCAUAGUGGGGGAUAACAGUCGGAAACGACUGCUAAUACCGCAUAGUACAUAGGAUCACAUGAUGCAGUGAGGAAAGGUGGCGCAAGCUAUCGCUAAGAGAUGGACCCGCGGUGCAUUAGCUAGUUGGUAGGGUAAAGGCCUACCAAGGCGAUGAUGCAUAGCCGACCUGAGAGGGUGAUCGGCCACAUUGGGACUGAGACACGGCCCAAACUCCUACGGGAGGCAGCAGUAGGGAAUCUUCCGCAAUGGACGCAAGUCUGACGGAGCAACGCCGCGUGAGUGAAGAAGGUCUUCGGAUCGUAAAGCUCUGUUGUUAGGGAAGAACAGCGCAUAGAGUAACUGCUAUGCGUGUGACGGUAUCUAACCAGAAAGCCACGGCUAACUACGUG